rnacentral:rRNA from 1 species
GAUGAACGCUAGCGGCAGGCUUAAUACAUGCAAGUCGAGGGGUAGCAAGAUUGUAGCAAUACAAUUGUUGACGACCGGCAAACGGGUGCGGAACACGUACACAACCUUCCUACAAGUGGGGAAUAGCCCAGAGAAAUUUGGAUUAAUACCCCGUAACAUAGCGAUGUGGCAUCACAUUGCUAUUAUAGCUUCGGCGCUUGUUGAUGGGUGUGCGGCUGAUUAGAUAGUUGGCGGGGUAACGGCCCACCAAGUCUACGAUCAGUAGCUGAUGUGAGAGCAUGAUCAGCCACACGGGCACUGAGACACGGGCCCCGCUCCUAAGGGAGGCAGCAGUAAGGAAUAUUGGACAAUGGACGCAAGUCUGAUCCAGCCAUGCCGCGUGAAGGAUUAAGGUCCUCUGGAUUGUAAACUUCUUUUAUAAGGGACGAAAAAAGGUCUUUCUAGAUCGUCUGACGGUACCUUAUGAAUAAGCACCGGCUAACUCCGUGCCAGCCGCCGCGGUAAUAC